rnacentral:rRNA from 1 species
GAUGAACGCUGGCGGCGUGCUUAACACAUGCAAGUCGAACGGAAAGGCCCAAGCUUGCUUGGGUACUCGAGUGGCGAACGGGUGAGUAACACGUGGGUGAUCUGCCCUGCACUUCGGGAUAAGCCUGGGAAACUGGGUCUAAUACCGGAUAGGACGAUGGUUUGGAUGCCAUUGUGGAAAGUUUUUUCGGUGUGGGAUGAGCUCGCGGCCUAUCAGCUUGUUGGUGGGGUAAUGGCCUACCAAGGCGUCGACGGGUAGCCGGCCUGAGAGGGUGUACGGCCACAUUGGGACUGAGAUACGGCCCAGACUCCUACGGGAGGCAGCAGUGGGGAAUAUUGCACAAUGGGCGCAAGCCUGAUGCAGCGACGCCGCGUGGGGGAUGACGGCCUUCGGGUUGUAAACUCCUUUCGCUAGGGACGAAGCGUUUUUAUGACGGUACCUGGAGAAGAAGCACCGGCUAACUACGUG